CCCUUAGAUGUUCUGGGCUGCACGCGUGUUACAAUCGGGAGUACAACAAGAUUGCAAAUCCUAGUGGAUGAGUGGUUCUUCGAAAUUUUCUGAAGACUGGGAUAGUUGAUUGAAAUUAUUCAACUCAAACGAGGAAUUCCUUGUAAUUGUAAUUCAUUAUAUUGUAAUGAAUACGUCCCUGCCCUUUGUACACACCGCCCGUCGCUCCUACCGAUUGAACGAUCCGGUGAAUUAUUUGGAGUAGCUCUGGAAGUUGCAGAACUUCCUAUGUCACGAAAUUUUGUAAGCCUUAUCGUUUAGAGGAAGGAAAAGUCGUAACA
rnacentral:rRNA from 1 species